GGCAUUGACUAUGAGACUUGUACUGCAAAAAAUGAAGGUGGUUCCACGAGAAGCUGAGAAACUGAACGUAAAUAAUGCUGGGUUUUUGGCACAGAAGCGUCUUGCUCGCGGAUUGAGGCUCAAUCACCCUGAAGCUGCAGAGCUCUCAUAGCCACACAGAUUUUGGAGUUCGUUCUAAAUGGCGAUAAAUCUGUGGCGGAAUUGAUGGACAUUGGGAGGCAACUGUUGGGUAGGUAAUGGUGUGAACUGUGAAAUUUUAUCAUUUGCCCUGUUUUUGUAGAUGGAAUGUUAAUUCUGGAUUCUGAUUGUUGAAUAGUAUCUGGGUUGCCUUCCUUUUUACCCAAUCAACCAAUCUUGUAUCCCUAAUUUCGCCUGGUUGCUCAAGAUUGAUCAGCACAGUACUUUUUCAAACAGGAAACAAGUUCUUCCCGGUGUUCAAUAUCUUUUGGAUAUGGUGCAGGUAUUAUGCUCAUUGAGGUUGUUUGCAUUUGCUUCGAAAAGCCUUAAACAUAACGAUUGCUGCUGAAAACUUCUCAUAACCCUGACAUAACAUGCUGCCUAAAAUCAUUUUUCUCGAGUAAGAUAUAAAUGCAGGUCAAAGGGACUUUUCCUGAUGGGAACAAGUUAAUCGCCAUUCACCAUUCACGAUCCAAUUUCUAGGGAUAACGGAAAUUUGGAACUAGCUUUGAAGGAUUCUUUUCUUCCUGUACCCUCACUAGACAAGUUUCCUGAAAUGGAAGAUGGUGAAAUUCCCGGUGCAAUUAUCUAUGGAUGGUACUGUUGUGCUUAUUCAUGGAAGGAAUGUUGGCGUGAGUCAACCUUGGGUUUAAGGAAUAUGGAUAUAUUUUGGGUAUGAAAUCAUGUAAUCGAUGUCCUCAUAUAUUUGGGAUUCUUAUUUCCUAUUUCAUAGGAGCUUGCAGCAGUAUGUAUAAUCCUCUACAUGAGAAGAAUAAAGUAAUACACUUUAAGGUUUGUGUUUGUCAAGCAUAAUGAAAA